UUUUGGCUCAGAAAUGUUCACAGUUGUCUUCAUCUGAAAUGAGUCAAUCAACUGUAUACCAUCACCGCAUGUACUACAAAUCUCGAUCAAAGCUAGAUUAACCUCUCAUAUGGUUUUUGCCAAUUGUCAUUUUUGAAGGCUAUGACAGUUUAUGCCAUCAUCCAGUGUUACUAUUUGGAGAAGAUUGCUGAUCAAAAUAAUAGGUACCUUGCAGUUUUCUUUGUAGUAUAUUAUUAAAUUUAUUUAAAAACUGCAAAAAUUACCCAAUUUCUUUACCAAUUAUAAAAAUCGUUCUUCUUCUU